rnacentral:rRNA from 1 species
GACGAAGGAUGCAAGCGUUAUCCGGAUUCAUUGGGCUUAAAGGGUGCGUAGGUGGACUUGUAAGUCAGUGGUGAAAUCUUUGGGCUUAACCCAGAAACUGCCAUUGAUACUGCAGGUCUAGAGUACAGUUGCCGUUGGCGGAAUAUGACAUGUAGUGGUGAAAUACUUAGAUAUGUCAUAGAACACCGAUUGCGAAGGCAGCUAACGAAGCUGUAACUGACACUGAGGCACGAAAGCGUGGGGAGCAAACAGG